rnacentral:rRNA from 1 species
UACGAAGGGGGCUAGCGUUGCUCGGAAUCACUGGGCGUAAAGCGCACGUAGGCGGAUUGUUAAGUCAGGGGUGAAAUCCUGGAGCUCAACUCCAGAACUGCCUUUGAUACUGGCGAUCUCGAGUCCGGGAGAGGUGAGUGGAACUGCGAGUGUAGAGGUGAAAUUCGUAGAUAUUCGCAAGAACACCAGUGGCGAAGGCGGCUCACUGGCCCGGUACUGACGCUGAGGUGCGAAGCGUGGGAGCGAACAGG